AAUACCAAUGUCAUAUUUCAAUUAGAAAAUAAGAUUUAGUUUGAUCAUGCAUGCAAUUGUAAUAACCCUACUUUGAGCUUUUAUGUACUGGUUUAAAUAGUUAAAUCUUCUAGAUUCUUUUGCAUAUUUUCUUGGAAUUAUACUAUGAGAGCAUCUUAGUUUUCACUAAGUGAUAAAAUACAUUUUCUAUUUCCGUAAUACAGGUCAUUAGUGGUCACUUGGGAUGGGUGCGAUCUGUAGCAUUUGAUCUAGGGAACAAAUGGUUUUGUCCUGGUUUUGCUGAUAGGACAAUAACGGCAAGGAAGAAGGUUGCAGAGCACGGAUGGAUGUGAAAAGGAAGAGGAUGGAUGAGAGAGGAGAGAAGAGGGGUGAAAGAGGAUACAGAUGGAAAGAGGGAGAAGGACAGGGUGGAGGCGCUUCUUGAGGAUUAUUGUCGACUGAUUUCACACUCUCUUAUAAAUUCAUGGUUAGCUAGGUAAACCUUUUGUACAACAGCUCUUGUUCAAAAGGAAGUUUGAUUUUUCGGCUUCUUAUUUUAGGUCAAUAUCAAGAACAGUUUAGUUAAUUUAGUUUAAUGUUUAUGUUUGAAAUUGACUUUUACCAUUCUGGUUGAA